rnacentral:rRNA from 1 species
UACGUAGGUCGCAAGCGUUGUUCGGAUUUAUUGGGCGUAAAGCGCGUGUAGGCGGUUCCUUAAGUCUGAUGUGAAAGCCCCGGGCUCAACCCGGGAAGUGCAUUGGAUACUGGGAGACUUGAAUACGGGAGAGGGUAGUGGAAUUCCUAGUGUAGGAGUGAAAUCCGUAGAUAUUAGGAGGAACAUCAGUGGCGAAGGCGGCUCACUGGACCAGUACUGACACUGAGAAGCGAAAGCAUGGGGAUCAAACAGG